rnacentral:tRNA from 1 species
UUCAGGAUGGCAGAAGAAAUGCAUUAAACUUAAAAUUUAAAGAUGGGGUUAAACUCUCUUGAAU